UCAGCAAGCGGUGCCCAACAUGGGGGCUUGAACCCAGGAUGAAGAGUCGCUGGAGCGAUGGUUGGAGAACGUGGAAGUAAGCUGGAGAACACCCGAGUACUCUUAAGCAAUCCCCGUGGCAAAAUACUACACCAGGGAUGUAAUACCUACAAGGCGGUCUUCCUGAAAUGCCUGCCCGGAACAGAAUGCUGGGAUGCACUCAACUGUGAAUUUUUCUUGAGGUCUUCCUUUCCUUCAUCUGGAUAAAGUGGAGCCCAGCCCUCCUGUGUCAGUGAGACUGGAAGCCUCUGGGGGCCAUGUGCUCUGCCCUCUGCCAUCUCUGCUCAUUGUUCCCCCAUGUUCACACCUGCCUGCAUUAACUAGGAGCAGUCACACGUUUGUACUCAGUGCACAGUCAUACAUGUUGAAGAAAACAAAUCAUACUGCUUGUUCUUAAAAAUGAGAUGAAAAAAUAAAUCUAAACACACUUUUCAAGUGUUACUCUUCUUUAAACUUUUAUAUAUGUUAAGGCUCUUCUUUUUCUUUUCAAUAUACUCUACUUAGAACUUUAAAAAAUAAACUUUCUUUUUUGGUACCUCUUGUUUCCUGUAUUAGCCUGGGAAACAUUUAGAAAUACAUCUCCCUAGAACUCUUCUGUGCAAAUAAUAAACAUAA
rnacentral:lncRNA from 1 species